CUUUACUGUAACUUGAAAUUGAAAUUGGACUUUAUUUGCGCAGUAUAGGUGGGAGGCGUUGAGAAUAUUCUUGCGGGAAUAUUGGAGCCAUCAGUGAGAUACCACUCUUGUAAUGUUAGAUUUCUAACUUUGCAUCCUGAUCGGGUCAAAGAACAGUUUCAGGCGGGCAGUUUGACUGGGGCGGUCGCCUCCCAAACGGUAACGGAGGCGUACAAAGGUUUCCUCUGAACGGGUAGAAAUCGUAUCUAGAGUGUAAAGGCAUAAGGAAGCUUGACUGUGAGACCUACAAGUCGAGCAGGGACGAAAGUCGGUCUUAGUGAUCUGACGGUGCUGAGUGGAAAGGCCGUCACUCAACGGAUAAAAGUUA
rnacentral:rRNA from 1 species